CAAGAUCGUGGCUGGUCAAGGACAGGGAGGGAAGGAGAAGGUGGGGAGGAGGAACAAAAAGCUGAGGCGAGAGCCUGGAGAAGGGGGACCUGCUGUCUGUUUGAACUUCACUGGGCAGGAGGCAGCCCUGGACCUGCACCCAGACCUGGGCCUGCACACCACAGGAGCAUACAAUGGUGCUGUGCAUGUCUUGUCCUGGCAUCAGAGAGCUCCAGCAGCCUGAAGAUGUGCAUUCAAUGAGCCGUUUUACUGGCAGCAGGUGACUAUCUCCAGCAGAGGAACUGGAGCUGCUCUGCAAAGCAUGCCAGUAACUGUGCUGCUAUGGGGACACACCAUGGGAAUUCGCCCAGGACUGGAUGUUCAGCACUAGGUACAGUGAAAUUAGAUUAACGUGUGCUUUGGGGAGGAAGUGAUGGGCUUGAUAGUGUCUGAAGGAGCAGGAAUCACUGGAGAAGGAUGGGUUUGGAUGGGUUUGUACACCAGGGCUUGCAGUGCUCGCUGAGCAGGGGGACACAUCAAAGGGGUGGCUGUGGUUUGGGAUUGGGAACAGUGCCUGCCUAUGCAGGACAAACACUCAUCCCUCUCACGUGUAGAGGCGAGCAGCAUUGGUGUGUGAGCUCACAGUGGCAGGAAACCUGGGCUGAUAGCUGUUAGUAACAGUGCUGAAAUAGCAAGGCAGUGUGGUUUUUAUUUCGGAGCGUUCGCUGCAUAGUCAGGGCUCAGAAAGACACAGCAGAAAACAAAAGAGGCGGGUUGGUAGAAUGCUAUUAGAGCCAUUAAUCACCAUUAAGAACUAAUAACUGUGUACUGCCUCCCUGGUGCUACUUGCUACCGCACCACCCAGCCCCAAUCCCCUGCUUUAUAACAGCUUCACACUCAACUCAGCUGCCAGAAAAACUUCCUGCCCUCUGUCUGAACCCACCGACUUGGCCCUAAAUCCCCACCCACAACCCACCAAUGUGAAACUUCCUCUUCCCACCACUUCUCUGCAGCAGCUUUGCCUUCAGGAGCACUGAGCCCAGUGAUUCUACCAGAUGGGAUGUUUUUUUUGUGCAGUACGGGUAGCUAGAUUAAUAGAUUAUUUUAAACUUCCCAUUAAAAAGCAUCCAAAUAAGUGCCUCAAAGCAAUUGAAUUAGCCUAGCUGCAGUCACACGAGGCUACUUCUGUAGAAAAGACAAAUUUGAGGCUCUCUCCAUCCAUCCAUCCACCCACUCAUCCAUCACCCACCCAUCCUUGGCCCACUCCUUUUCACAGUGCCGACAAGGACAGGGUAUUUUUCAGAGUCUCACAGACAGCAGCCCAGCAGAUGGCAGAUCUCUGCAACCCUGGCUGGAAUGGGGACAGUGUGAGGCUGGAGAGAAGAGACUGAAACAAUUCUAUUCCCACCAAAAAUAACGCCCAGAGCUGUUCACAGUCUUCAGUGCGUUCUUGUUUCUACUUGAGAUGCUGGAUUUUUGUGUGAUAGACACCAAAACAAUCAAAAUACAGAAGCAUUUCACAUUAUCUGAAUGGAUUUAGACUUCGGCUUUCUAUCAAUUAAUCAGUCAAUCAAUCAAUCUGUCAGAGACCUUUCCUGUAUUUCCUGUUGAGCCCUGGGUUAAAAAGCCAGCUUUGCAGUAGCAGUGCUGCUUGCUGCAUAUCCUCUGAGCUCUGAGCUCCUGAAAUUUUAAAUAUAUCUGUAUGUUUUGCUUUUAUUUCCAGCCUCUCCGCUGGUGGAGGAACCGUCAAGGUCAUAUUUAUAUUUAUUAGAUUCACUGUAUUGGUUGCUGUGGAGUGCUGCUGUGACACCAGAACAAAUUGCUGUGCUGGGGAAGGACAGGAGAGGGACCGAGGAGUUAGGGCAGGGGGCAGGUGGGCACGGUGUGCUCCUGACCCACCGCCAUGGGAGGGCAGAGGGGGCUUUGCUCCGGCAUCAUCUCAGAUGGAGACCGCUUCGAGUCCUCGUCCCACUCUGGCUUCCUCUGUAGCAUGAACUGCUGUGCUUGGAAAUCUCAUCCACGGCAGAAGUCAGGAGAAAUUUUGGCAUUCCUUAAGGGGUUUUGGUCAUGAGAGAGGGGUAUAACAUUUCUGGUGAUCUUUGUGUGCAGUGCUCACCUUCCCCUUCCCCUCUAUCUGCAGCAUCCUCCAGACCCCCCCAUAAAAGAGGGGGAGACUCUCCAGCAGACACUUGUUUCUCUCCCCAUGUGGGCUCCUUUGAGCCACGUGCCUGGGGUUGGUGAGGCUGCUGGCCACAGAUACAGAAGCCAAAAUCACAGUCCUCUGCCUGAAGCUCCUGCCAUCCCUAUCUGCCAGGGGAGUGAGAGGUCUAAAUCUCUUGUGCCUGCUUUUGGACGUUGAUUCUGAUUCAGCAAGCAGGCUGCUGCACUGCUUAAGUCAUAUCUGAGAAUCUCAAGGGGGCUUAUGGCCAACCUGCAGUCACCCUGGGGCGUUUCCACCAGCAAGAUGUGGGAUGGAGGGCAAUUCCCUUACAAAAAGGUAACGAUGAAUUCAGGGCAUAUUUAAAAAUCAAGGUUGAAGUGUUGCAGGGCUUUGGCACAAGGAGGACCAGGCACAAGUCCAUUGGCAAGCGCUCCAGCUCCUGGGUAGGAUUUGGGGAAGUGCUGGGGUUAUGGGGACACCCCACCCCUCCUGGUGCCUAGGGUGGCUGAUGGGAGCUUUGGGGCGCCGAGCUCUUGUAUACAGGUGGCAGCUCUUUCCCCUUGGGGGUAUUCAUAUCCCAGAGGAGACGCUUGAGGCUUUGGCUUGAAACGGAUGAAGAUCAAAGCCUGCCCACAGACCUUCAUCCCAGCAGGCAGGAGGAAGAGGGAGAGGCAGACACAGAGGCAGCAGAUGCAGUGACCUUUGCAUCCUGUGUGAAAGGAAGCUGAAAGUCAAAUGCCAGCCCCACCAGGCAGCUCUGCAUCCCAACCUGCUGCUUGCCCCUGCUGCUGUGGCGUUCAGAGUUGCUGCGAGCCUAUAGCGGCCUUGGUUGGCUCCUGCUAUUCAUUUCAAUUGAUUUAUUUUUAGUUUUGUGGAAAGGAAGAAAGUGAUAAAUAAAUAAAUAACCUCCCACCCUGUCCCAACUCCUGGCAGGCUCCUUGUAGGCUGUCAUCUUGGUGGGGUGAUGGAAAAUAUCUCCACCCUUCCUCCUCCCCAGCAGCAUCCAGCAAGCCAUCCAUCACCCAGCCCUGGGAACAGGAGGUCUGCAGGGUCAGCGGCCAGCCCCCUGCUUCAGCUCAUCCCAUGGGGUUUGGCUGUAGGGUGAGAGCUGUAUUUUGGGAUGGUCUGCGCAUGGAGCAUCAGAAAGGAGCUAACUUGGGGAUGAAAAUGGGGGACAAGGAGGGAAAGGUGUCCCCCUCUUCUUGCUGGCCUGUAGGAAUCAGAGGAAGGGCACAGCCCUCUGCAGCAGCCGCAGCAGCUUCUGCCUGCACUGCAGUUUGCCAAGCACUGCUCUGCAUUUGCUGCAUUUGCUGCAGGAGCAGCCCCAAAAGCAGUAGCCCCAAAAACAAGGAUGAGCCCCGGGAGGACUCGUGGGGGGACAGCAAAAUGAAGACAGCAGGUCAACCUAGGGGCAGAUAUUGCUCUACCUCAUCAAAUAGAUGUGCCUGGGAGGAUUUCAAUUUAAGACAUAGCUUGCAGUGCAAUCUCAAACAGCUUUUGGUCAGGAACAGCCGCGAGGUGUUGCUCACAAAAUUUAGGAUGCUGCUACCGUAAUAAAUAACAACGGAGUCAAUCCUCACACUAAUUAGUGUUCAGUCUCAGUGGGGAGGAGGCAGGCAGUGGGUUGGUUCUGCACCUGCUGGAGCAUCUCUGCUGCAUCCCUGAAUGGCACAAAGUGCUGGGGAUGCUGCAAGGAGCCAAGGCUGCUGUGGGGGGACCCUGCCUGGGGAUGCUCUGGGACCUUCAUCCAGAGCAACUCCUGGAGCAUUUCAGCACACCCUGUCCCCACCUUCCAUCUCAAAUCAUCCUAUCUCAGACAGGUAGGAGCACCAUUCCCUCAGCCAGUAUUUCUCUAACUUAUAUCCUUAUGUCCUAUAUCAUGUAUAUCCUGCCAAAAUGAAGUCAUUCUUCUAAUUAUGCAGACAGAGGUGGGAGAGGGAGGGGUCCAGCUCCUCCGGUAGAGCAUUUAGUCCCACGCUGGCAUUUGGUCAGGGGAAACAAAAGCACAGCUCAUCCUGUGAGACUGAGAGGGUUCUCAGCUAAAGCAUGAGCAGAGAGCAGAGGUUUGAGCAGAAACUCAGUGCUGGUGUCAUUUGGAAACGGUGAAAGAAGGAAAAAAUAUUGCAUCCUCCCCAGGCUUUACUUACAACACAAGUGAAGCACUGUGUUGGGGUCACUGGAGUUCUGCACUUCAAGGGACCCUUUAAAAUAAAAUAAAAAAAGAGCGGAUGUCAGCAAAUGUUGCCCUAAAGCCAGGAAAUCCUGAAUUAUUCUAAGAGGAGGUCAAAUGGAAACACUUUAAGAAAUGUCAGCAGAUGUCUUGUCACUUUCAGAAAGGUUUCCCCUCAUGUUCUGGACUGGAGCCUUGUGUCAGAUUUGAGCCCUCUCUGUAGGUCUUUAGGUGUCUCCACAUGGAAAAAAAUCCCAGCAGCUGGAGAUGCCCCCCAGCCCCAAGCAACGGUGAACCAGCAUGUGUCCCCUAGGUCUCCACCUCUGGCUGGAGCUGGUGGCACUCAGGGAAGGAGCACUUGCAAACCUUCUGCACGAUGCUUCUCUCUAUCUCACUGCUGGAGCUCCCAGAGCUGGUGCACUGGGGUAGCUGAUGCCUGGGGUAGGGCAGUUAGCAUGUGUCUUGUUUUUUCCCCUGUUAUAUACCAUAAGCAGGUGCGACGGCUUUUCCCACACCCAGGACCAUCCCCAGUGCUCUGAGCUACAUCUACAUUCAAGGAGAGGUGUUACCUGGACAGCUGGAAGGACACUGAUGAGGCACUGGCACAGACUGCCCAGAGAGAUGCCCCAUCCCUGAGAAGGUCAGGCUGGAUGGGGCUCUGAGCACCUGAUAGAGCUGUAAGUGUCCCGGUUCGUUGGAGAGGAGUUGGACCAGAUGGCCUUUAGGGGUUCUUUCCAACUCAAAUGGUUUUAUGAUUCUACGAUGACAUUGUCUUGUGCCACAUCUGGCACCUUCCCAAGAGUUUUUGGCUCUUGAAUUGCAGAGCUGGGAGUUUCCAGGAGGAGGAACACUGCAAACCCCCUGCAAUGAAACCACUCAAUCAAAACCAGCACCGCAAGAUCAACAUUUUGGGAACUGUUAGUCCCUCUGAGUUUAGAGCACGCCAAUGGCAGAUAACUCACAUCUGCUUCUGAAAGCAGGAGAUUAGCCUAAUUUAGCAUGAGCUCAGAUAUCAGCAACAAAAUCUAAUUACGAGGACAUGUCAGGCUCAUUGAUCACUUGAAAUGGCAACGCAAAAAGUUGGGCCAAUUGCAUAAUGACUGCAGAGUGCUUCCACCCUGUGCUGUUUUGCUAGGGGAAUUUGCUUCCCCAAUUAUCUUGUAUUGAUGGGAGCCCAGUGCCAUGCUGAUGAUGGCACGUACCUUGUUUUAUAUUAAAAAUACGUUUUGUGCUUGCUGGAAAUUACAAAAAGCAAUUCCAGAAAUACUGGAUGGAAAUGCAUGAGAUCCCAAGGGUUUCUGACAGGUAAUGGGAUGUCUGCAGCAGUUCCUGUAGGACUGAGUCCAGCGUCCCCAUGGAUGAUGUGGAGCUGCUCGCCCUCACGGCAUCAGCACUUGAGCCCCACUGCUAAAGUGUUCAUCACAGCUGACAUUAAGUGGCAGCAAUUGUUUCCUGGUGGCUUUUUGCUCCCCCAGGCCAGGAAGGCUCUUACUGCCUUGUUCUGUGCAGUGCCUGUGCACAAGGAGCAGUGCCUUCCAAGGGACGCCUGUCGGAGUGCAAAAAGAGGGAAAGCAGAAAGGAAAACAUUUUAAAAGAUAAAAUAAAGCUUAGUCAGUCAGGAACUGGUACGGAGUCAAGAUGCAUUUUGGAUGAGGGGCUGUUUUAUAGAUGGGCUGAUGUCUGCUCAGACAAGCGUGGAGCGUGAGGGAGUCAAUGAGGAUGGAGCAGCGCAGUAAUGGAUUUUCCUGUGUAUCACCACUGCUCCCGCAACGUCCAGCGAAGCAAAUGAUUGCGUCUGCAGCAUCAAUCAUUUAGCAUCGUUAGACAAGAAGCUCUGCCACAAGAUGAGCAUCUCAUGCUUGGAAAGCAAUUGGCUCGGCUUUACCUCAGCGCUGCUGCAGCAGGGGACCUGUUAUCCCUGGUGGCAGGGUUCCUGUUUGGGGAGCCCAGGUCAUGAGCCCUCCUUACUGCUCAGAUUAUUCACAGCCCUGAAAUAAUACCUGCCUGUGACCAGGCAGCCACCAUCCAUAAGGCACGGUCAGAAGCAUGAGCUAUUAUCCAGCCGCUGGCUCUUCUCAGGAAGCUCAUUUCCAUGCAGAAUUGCACUUUGUGCAAUAUAUCUGCGGGAGCGAUAGCUGAAUGCCUCCGCUUCAGGGAACAGGACCAAAAAAGUGAGUGAGAACUAUUGAUCUGGUUUUAAGGAGAGCUGUAUCUAUUAAUCUGGGAACACUAAUCACUGGGGGCUGACAGGAACAUGAGGUUUCCAGUGCCAUGCUGACACUCCUCAGCCUCUUGGGUGAAGCCUGAGGAUGACAAGCUGCUUUCCUGGAGCUGGGCAGGAAAGCCCAGCAGGAGGGCCCCGACAGCUACUUAGAUGGGAAGGGUAAUACCAAAGAGAUGGUCCUGGGGAGCCCUGAGGACAUUUGUCAUCUUGCAGUUAUCCCCACAAGCCUGAGCUGGACGUGGCAUUACAACAAAGGUGGCUGUCUGCCUCCUGGGAAGGGGGCAGGGGUGGUUAUUGCGUUAUUAUUUUCUUCUUUCAGUAUAGCAAAUAUGACAUAAUAAAGCUGAGAGCUGACUAAGAUAGGAAGCUUCUAAGGGAUGAAAAAGGCUGCAAAGAAACUCCUUGCCAGGUGAAUUUAAUUCUUGAUUUUUCAGGGCUGAGGUGUUCAGUGGCUGUGCUGCUGCCCUCUGAAUAGCAGCUCUCCCCUUGAGAACAUCAGCUGCUCCCCUGCAAUGGUUUGAUACCAUUUGCAAACUUUGGGCAAGCUCUCCUCCAGGUCAUUCCCUCCGCCAUGUUGUUUAUUACACGCAAGCCAGCACUGAGCAUUUUUACUUCGUGACUGUGCCAGCCAGAUGGGGCAGAGCACUCACAUCCUGAGCUGGAUGGGCAGAAUCAUUUCCACACAUUUGCAAGGUCAUUCAGGUGAACUCGGGUACCCUCCUCAAGGUACUGAUGUGUUUCUAAGCCUUAAGGAGUCCUUUUUCCAAGAUGAGAUGUACAUUCAUCAUGCAUCUUUCAUAAAACCUAUCUAUAUUCAUUAAUUGGUUGUUAUGCUCCAGUUGAUGAAGAAUAGACCUCAAGGGUUUUGGCAAGGACUCUUUAGCUUUAAUGUCUUUAGUUCCUCCCUUUGCUCGGCAAUGGCUGGGAGAGGAGAACAGGGAGUAGCACGAAAGCUUUGCCUGUAGUUACCUCUCAAUAUCCUUCCUCUAUCUAAUAACAUCCUUCCUUGGAGAGCUAAGACGUGAUGGUCCAUAAGAAGCCAGCUCUCACCUCUCAUCAGGGAAGUGGCCCCUGCCAUACUGGGGCUGAUAAAUAUGACAAAUGACAUCGUAUUUAUUUUACAACAAAGAGAGUGCUUCAGCUAUCUAGAGAUCAAAGCAUAUUAGCAUGUGGAUAAAAACUCCAGUGUUUGUGUAAUCCCUAAAUAGAUUUCUUUGGCUAGUAGCUGCAAGCUGCUACUCCCACCCGGCUCAUCAUCCUAAUGGGUAGGUGUCACGUCAAGGAGGAAGAGCUGUGAUUUAGCUGGUAGGUUAAUGAAAAAGUAGGAGGUGUAACUGGUUGCAUUUUUGGAUUUUUUUUUCUGCCCUACUCUGGACAAAAACCUCAUUACCUUGUGCACAAACCUGCUUAAUUCUGUGCAGCUUUGCAGCUUCUUCUUGCUUCAUGCUCCCAUCAGAGGACUGCUGUGUGCCGUGGUUGCCCCAGGAAGCUGAAGCUUUGCAGCCACCCAUGUGCUCCCAGCCAUCGAGGAGCAGUGAGAUCAGGGCUGCUCUCACAAGAAGGUGAAGCCAAGGUGGGACCUAUACCCUCAGCAUCCAACCAAGAUGGACACAACCUGGAGUCCAGGUCAUAUGGCAACACCAUGGUGAUGAUGGAGGUCCAAGGCAAAGCUGGGAACUCAUCCUGCAGGCUGAGGUCCACAUCAAGGAGCCCCAUGGCUAGGCAUAGGCUGAAGCCCAGCACUCCUGCAGUUCACAGUCUGGGAAACAUGCACAGAUAUGCUACCUUAUUAUUACUAAUGUUUAUUAAUUAAAGAUAGAGUGUACAGACAGCUUCUGCAAGUACCAUUCAUUCCCAUAAGACCUUUCGGGGUGACAGAGGUAUUCACCUCUGACCACCCCAUGCCUCCUCAUCCUUUGGGUACUGCUGUGGAACUUAGCCCAGUCUCCGUGUAGGAUGGAGCAGAGCGUGAGCGAUGCUGGAUAACUCCUGCCCUCCCAUCUUCUCCGGCAGCUCAGGGAUGUUGGCACCUGCCUUUGGCCACCACUGAGAGCCAUUUGUCUUGUGCUUCUGCAAGCGUGAAAUGCAAGGUGACAGCUUGACGUGCAGCAGCAGGAGGGAACGGCCCCCUCCUCCCCCCGCGCACGUCUUCUCUUCCAGGAGCCCUCAAGAAGCCAUCCUGGCAGUGCCUCCAGUCCUUCUGCUCAUGCCUCAUUUCCAACUCAUUCAUGCAGCCUGCCCACCAGACCCUUACCUAUCUGUAUGUCCCCAGAGGGGGAUCUGUGCUUACAGGGUCUGCUGCACACCAUGACUUUGGUCUCCAAAAUCAACAUUACAGCUGGGCUGAAGGACUCUGAGCUCCUCAUCCCAGGACCAGAGCAGCCCUGCCCAAACCAUUCCUAAUGCUGCAUCUGUCCAACUUGCUUUUAAAAUAUCCCACAGUCUCCUCCAGGUCUUGGGUUUAUGUGCCAGCCUGGUGGGGAGCACAUCAUGAUGCUCUCUAUGACUGCUUUGCAGGGUCUUCCCAUCAGGCUUUGACCAGCCUGAACCGCUGACCAGCCAUAGCUCUCUUUCUUCAGGAUGAGAGGUAAUGGUCUUAAGUUGGACCAGGGGAGGUUCAGAUUAGAUGUUAGGAAAAAUUUCUUCUCCAAAAGAGUGGUCAGGCAGUGGCACAGGCUGCCCAGGGAAGUGACGGAGUCACCGUCACUGGAGGAGUUCAGGAAAUGUGGAGAUGUGGCACCGAGGGACAUGGUAUAGUGAUCAUGGUGGAGAUGGGUCAACGAUCGGGCUAGAUGGCCUUAGAGGUCUUUUCCAACCUUAAUGAUUCUAUGAUUCUGUGAUUCUAUGACUCUACGAUUCCUUCCUGCACAUGUUCGGAGGGAGUUGAACAUCUUCCCAGGGGACAGGACACCAAAGAAUGGGUCAGGCACAGCACAAAGUGUCUGAAGAGGAUGGUGCCCUUCUAUUGGCAUCUCUAGCACUCAAGUCCCAACAGCACAGUCCUCCCAUCAGGAUCAGAUCCAGCUGUGAGAUUUGGCCAGGACAAGCUGAAGACCAAGGGAUGCGGUUAGGUCUCCUUCAGUUCAGCCCUGCAGCCACUCAGCAGAGACAUGGCACUUCGUUUAAGAGGGAGCCAGGGCUGCAAAGCAUCGACCAUUUGGGUUUCUAUUUCCCAGCUGCUGGCGGCUCUGUGAAAAUGCACGGGGAGAAGGAAUAACAGGUCCUGAGCCCGGCACAUGUCCUGCAGCCUGGAAACACAGCCCUGAGAUCCCCAGCCCUUCUGCAAACCGUGGCCCUGCACUUUGCUGUUAUAUCAGACCACACUGCAGUGACCCUGGCCAGCACCACAGCCAGGAUUUCCUCAGCUGAGAGAGACCAGGGCAGACCUGACCGUGGUGCUUUACAGAUCCUACUGUUUUUCUGCUGCUGCGUAUGUUGGCUCUGAGAUGAGCUGUGCUGCUCUGUUAGAAUUUUUUCCCUGCUGCUCAAGUUGAUAGCUACAGUGAGGAGAUGUCUUCUCUGAUUUACACAUCCUCCUUAUGUGGGGUGGAGCUCGUGGUUAAAAAAAUCAUUUCUCACAGAGUUCUCUGCCUCAUUUUCCUUUGUCCCUGGUUGUGGUUGGCGUCUGAAAGGUCGGGGACAGAGACCUUCCCCUGCCCUGUGCUCAGCAGGGCUCCAUUGGUGCAAACCCACAAGUUCAACAACACUGUGCCCACGUCAUUUCCUGAGCACUGCCUUUUCCGGAGCUUUUGGUUUCAAAAGCAUUCCUCCGUGGUCAGAAGAAAUGCUAUGAAAACAUGCUUGUGCUUCCCUGUGCCUGGGUCGUGCUGCCCCAGCAUGCGAUGCGGGUCCUCACGCUGUCCCCUGCACUACAGCCCCCAGCAGCUCCCAUCACCCGCUAAAGAGAUUUGCAGUGCUCACUGCCAACGGCUCCCCAAGUGUGGGCUGCGAAGAUUAAUGGCUCUGCUGCUCGCCUGCUCUGUGCGAGCAUCGCUGAAGGGCAUCUAUGGGCUGAGCUGAUAAAGAGAGCUUAAUGGGAUGGAGUCCCUCCGUGUGAGGCUUCCAGCUGGGCUGAAUGUUCCACGAUGUCCUUACUGAUCUCCUUUGGGUGAUGGGGCGCUGCUUCAGCCUGAUGCUUUCUCUGCUGCCCCGGGUGGUGUCACACAUCCAACCACCGCAUGGUUCCCAUCCCCUGUGUUCUCCAGGCCCCCCUCUUGCCCAGCUCCAUUCCCCACUGCCCAUUUGACAUCCGAGGCAUGCUGUGACCCCACCUGCCAGCACGACCCCUGCACCCUCCCGGUGUUGGUCACCCCAUACCAGCCUUCACUCUGACUGGGUCAUUCCUGCAGGAAAACCCACCUCUAUUCCCUUACAGAAAACCCUCUCUGCCUUCUCCCAGCUGCCCAAAGGUUUCUCCACAGCUCUAUCAGCCCCCAGCUCCGGUAUGUGGAGGCUUCUCCUGGUGCAGAGCUGUGAUCCUGAGAGUUUCUGUUCCAGCAUUUACCAGGCAGCUUCAGAG
ensembl:lncRNA